CUGCAGUCGAGGGGCAGCACGGUAGCAAUACUGGUGGCGACCGGCAAACGGGUGCGGAACACGUACGCAACCUUCCUUUAAGAGAUGGAUAGCCCGAAGAAAUUCGGAUUAAUACAUCGUAAGAUUGUGGGAUGGCAUCAUCCAGCAAUUAAAGAUUUAUUUCGCUUAAAGAUGGGCGUGCGCCUGAUUAGGUAGUUGGUGAGGUAACGGCUCACCAAGCCGACGAUCAGUAACUGGCGUGAGAGCGCGACCAGUCACACGGGCACUGAGACACGGGCCCGACUCCCACGGGAGGCAGCAGUAAGGAAUAUUGGUCAAUGGACGCAAGUCUGAACCAGCCAUGCCGCGUGAAGGAUGAAAGCCCUCUGGGUUGUAAACUUCUUUUAUCUGGGAAGAAACCACUUUUUUCUAAGAGUGUUGACGGUACCAGAGGAAUAAGCACCGGCUAACUCCGUGCCAGCAGCCGCGGUAAUACGGAGGGUGCAAGCGUUAUCCGGAUUCACUGGGUUUAAAGGGUGCGUAGGCGGAUUAUUAAGUCCGUGGUGAAAUCUCCAAGCUUAACUUGGAAACUGCCAUGGAUACUAUUAGUCUUGAAUGUUGUGGAGGUUAGCGGAAUAUGUCAUGUAGCGGUGAAAUGCAUAGAUAUGACAUAGAACACCAAUUGCGAAGGCAGCUGGCUACACAAAUAUUGACGCUGAGGCACGAAAGCGUGGGGAUCAAACAAGAUUAGAUACCCUGGUAGUCCACGCCCUAAACGAUGAUUACUCGACAUUUGCGAUACACAGCAAGUGUCUGAGCGAAAGCAUUAAGUAAUCCACCUGGGAAGUACGACCGCAAGGUUGAAACUCAAAG
rnacentral:rRNA from 1 species